rnacentral:rRNA from 14 species
CGACCCCAGGUCAGGCGGGAUCACCCGCUGAGUUUAAGCAUAUCAAUAAGCGGAGGAGAAGAAACUUACAAGGAUUCCCCUAGUAACGGCGAGCGAACCGGGAUCAGCCCAGCUUGAGAAUCGAGCGGCAUUGUCGUUCGAAUUGUAGUCUGUAGAAGCGUCCUCAGUGACGGACCGGGCCCAAGUCCCCUGGAAGGGGGCGCCAGAGAGGGUGAGAG